UGGGGGGUUGCUGUUCUUGUCGGCGUCCCUAGCAAAGAUGAUGCAUUCAAGACCCAUCCGAUGAAUCUCUUGAACGAGAGAACUCUCAAGGGCACUUUCUUUGGCAACUACAAGCCAAGGACUGACCUUCCCUCUGUUGUGGAGAAGUACAUGAAUAAGGUAUAACACUGGGUCGUCAUGUUUCUUCCGAGCACAAAUGCCUGUGCUUUCCUAUAUUUCAAAAUGAAUCCACAUCUCUUAGGCCACAUUUCUAGUAGCGCUUGGCCUCCACCGGUGCACAUAAUGUCAUUUAUGCAUAAAUUUCACCUUACCAGUUCAUUUCAGUUGAGCGCUUCUUGACCUACAAAGCUUCACAUAUAUUCUAUGCAAUCAUUCUCUUUUUCUCUUACUUGUGCCGAAUCUAUCUACUUGUAAGGAAGUUUUGACCGAAGUGGUGUUCAUAUAUGAGCAGGAACUUGAUGUGGAGAAGUUCAUUACGCAUGAGGUUCCUUUCUCGGAGAUCAAUAAGGCAUUCGACUACAUGCUUCAAGGCGCUAGCCUUCGCUGUAUUAUCCGCAUGGGUGCCUAGAAUCGCUGACACUGCAGACCAUUUUGCUUCAGGAGGAAGACAAACUUUGCCGAGCUUUUGAAGUUAUUGCUGCGCCGUUGUUAUAUGCCCGUGUCUUGAGGCGUAAGAGUGAUGAAUAAAUGACCCCUUUGCUGCUGUAAAUGGUUUGUUAGCAAUUAAUGGAUGUUCAUGUUCGAAUUCUCGUGAUAAUGUCAACUUUAUUUGUAAGAUGAUGAGAUGAAAUCUUGCAUUAUCAGCUGCUUUGCUUCAUAAAAGAACGAGAGCGAAAAGAAACCACAAAUCCAAUACGUGCAAACUGUAGUAGAUAAUGAGCUUUGUUUUGAGCUGGACCGGACAACCGGCCGUCCCAGUCAUGGCCCGAUCUUGUGUAGAGGUGAUAAGUUUCUGACAGGAUUACGUGAUAACAUGACUCAAACGAAACCGGGAUUUACUUACAGGAACUCAUAUGAGAUCAACUUCACACACGCGAACUCGUGUUCUCGCAAGUGUCGCCAUGUUAUCCUAGCGCAGAAUCUUCUCCACACUACUAGAGGACCUCACAAUGACAGCAAGUGUACUUCAUUAUCUUCCUUUCGACUUGGCAACAAGUUGACCAAAUGUGCCUGUCUGAUCUCUAGCUGGACCUGACUUGGACCUAUGUGAGGCUCAUUGUCUCUGAUCUUGGACACCAACGGUAGGUCAGAGCCGCUGCUCUAUUUUUCUAGAUUCUGUCUCCAUUCGAUUCGAGCCUCUCUUCAUUGAACUUUACGAAGCAAGACAAUUCAGAAACGACACAAUUUGCACCGAGCGGUGUGAGAGCCGUUCUUUCAAUUGUGACCCGUGAACAGAUUCUUGGCAUCUAUCCAAGAGCCAAACCAGCAUGGUCUGGUCUAUGCCCCCAGCUUGCCACGACAAGUCCUUGCAAUGAACACAGAACAUGGCACCAAGAUGCACAUUCAUAGCUAUGCAUUUUCUUGUCUCAAGAUUAUGUUCGAUAUCCGAAUUCCACUUCAUUUUGAACAAAAGGGCGGUGCUCAAGCUCGGCACGAGUUUGAUUGUUCAUGCAACCGAGUGCAAACGAUUCUAUAUUCAGGCAGCUUGCCCCGGGUUUCAGCUCGCAUCUCACCUGAUUCACAAGGUAAGUGAGGCUUUCGUCCGUCAUUGAGUAUGCCUAAUUCAAAGUAGGUUUGCUGAGACGGGUUUCUUCACAUGAGACUGGCACAUGAUUAGACUAAUAAAAUACAUACCUACAUCAGAUGGAGGGACCGCACGAUCAUGGCGGAACCGAAGAAGCACAGGGACCAAAACUGAAAAUUCGAGAAAGUACACUUCCCAAAGUGUAAUUCCUAAGUUUGUCACUCGAGUAUAAAAUGCAUUUCAAACCCAAGCAUGUCAAACCCAAGUCAAAGCCAACGUGCACCUCUCUCUCUCUCUAGAAGAUGGGUCUGCAAAUCUCCGCCUCCUCCUUCUUCCUCAUCAUCCUCACCGUCGCCGCCGCCGCCGCCGUCGCCCCUCCGGCGAAGCCCCACGCCGCGCUGAUCCCGAAGGUGUGCAGGGCCACCAAGUACUACGGCCUCUGCCUCUCCACCCUCAAGUCCGACCCCUCCAUCUCCCGCGCCGACCCCAAGGGCCUCGCCUCCAUUGCCCUCGCCGCCGCCCUCGCCAACGCCACCUCCGCCUCCUCCUUCCUCUCCUCUCUCGCCCUCGGCUCCUCCUCCGGCGGCGCCGCCGGCGACCCCGCCCUGUCCCGGCUCCUCCUGGACUGUGCCGACAAGUACGGCCUCGCCGGCGACGCGCUCCGGGCGUCGGCGCUUGACGUGGCGGCGGAGGCCUACGACUACGCCUACGUGCACGCGAUGGCGGCGGAGGACUACCCGAGCGCGUGCCGCGACGCGUUCCGGAGGUCGCCGGCGGGGACGGCCUACCCGCCGGAGCUCGCGCGGCGGGAGGACGGGCUCAAGCGCAUCUGCGACGUCGUGCUGGGGAUCAUUGAAUUUCUCGGCUCGUGACGAAAAGAAUUUAUUUUUUUCUUCCAUUUUGCUAAUCUAGUUAAUGUCAAUUUCAGAUUUAUUUUUAUCAAAAUAUUUCACGUCGCUCCAUUAAUUAUUAAAAUUUUCACAUAAUUAAGGGGCGAAAUUCCUAUGCAAAUCCCGUGAUUGUUGGCUUAUUAGUAUGCAAAGUUCAUCACCUCGUUGGUUCCAAAAUUGUUGACUUUAGCUAUUACGAAUCUUUGGAUUUUGUUUGACGGUUGCUCAUAAUUUCUUUGUAUGACCAACAUAUUAUUUUAUAAGUGACAAUUUAUAAAGAGAAUGACAAGAUCAAAAUGUGUUUGUUGGAGGGAGAAAUGCAAUCGUAGAAAAAAAGCUACUGUAGAACAUAAUUUAUUGAAAAGAGUGAAGAGGUUAGACUAGAGAGAGCCUUCAGUCAUCGGGGAGUGAUAACUCCAUAUUGACAUUAUUCAUAUUUAUAUUUAGUUAAAUUUGUGUGUAAGUGAUGUGCAUAAUUUAUACUCGCUGAUAAGAAAAAUGAUAAUAUAUAAUAUGCAAGUAACAAUUUAGCAGGAGGGGUGCCUAGGUUGAGCAAUUUUUAGGUAGGUAGAUUUCAUACUUGGAAUCUGAAAUGUCAAUGCCAUGAUCUCUGCAUUCGAAUGUGUUCGGGAUGUAAGUACUUGCAGACAAAGCUGCUAGAUCAAUGAAAUGCUCUGUCGAUCUGUUUCUCUCAUCAUUAACGGGUUGGGAAUUGAUCUGCAGGGAUGGGGGGUUGCUGUUCUUGUCGGCGUCCCUAACAAAGAUGAUGCAUUCAAGACCCAUCCCGUGAAUCUCUUGAACGAGAGGACUCUCAAGGGCACUUUCUUUGGCAACUUCAAGCCAAGGACUGACCUUCCCUCUGUUGUAGAGAAGUACAUGAACAAGGUAUAACCCCAACUCAUGAUACUUCUUCACGGCACAUGCACAUACCCUGUCAUCCAUGCAUAAAUUGCCAUCUUGCCGGGUUCCAAAGCUUUGCAUACAAUUUACGCAUUUGGUCUCUUUUUCUCUUACUCGUCUGAUCAUGUACGGAGUUUUUGACUGAAGUGAUGCUCGUAUACGAAC
rnacentral:lncRNA from 1 species